AGAGUUUGAUCAUGGCUCAGAUUGAACGCUGGCGGCAGGCCUAACACAUGCAAGUCGAGCGGUAGCACAGAGAGCUUGCUCUCGGGUGACGAGCGGCGGACGGGUGAGUAAUGUCUGGGAAACUGCCUGAUGGAGGGGGAUAACUACUGGAAACGGUAGCUAAUACCGCAUAAUGUCGCAAGACCAAAGUGGGGGACCUUCGGGCCUCAUGCCAUCAGAUGUGCCCAGAUGGGAUUAGCUAGUAGGUGGGGUAACGGCUCACCUAGGCGACGAUCCCUAGCUGGUCUGAGAGGAUGACCAGCCACACUGGAACUGAGACACGGUCCAGACUCCUACGGGAGGCAGCAGUGGGGAAUAUUGCACAAUGGGCGCAAGCCUGAUGCAGCCAUGCCGCGUGUGUGAAGAAGGCCUUCGGGUUGUAAAGCACUUUCAGCGGGGAGGAAGGCGAUAAGGUUAAUAACCUCAUCGAUUGACGUUACCCGCAGAAGAAGCACCGGCUAACUCCGUGCCAGCAGCCGCGGUAAUACGGAGGGUGCAAGCGUUAAUCGGAAUUACUGGGCGUAAAGCGCACGCAGGCGGUCUGUCAAGUCGGAUGUGAAAUCCCCGGGCUCAACCUGGGAACUGCAUUCGAAACUGGCAGGCUAGAGUCUUGUAGAGGGGGGUAGAAUUCCAGGUGUAGCGGUGAAAUGCGUAGAGAUCUGGAGGAAUACCGGUGGCGAAGGCGGCCCCCUGGACAAAGACUGACGCUCAGGUGCGAAAGCGUGGGGAGCAAACAGGAUUAGAUACCCUGGUAGUCCACGCCGUAAACGAUGUCGAUUUGGAGGUUGUGCCCUUGAGGCGUGGCUUCCGGAGCUAACGCGUUAAAUCGACCGCCUGGGGAGUACGGCCGCAAGGUUAAAACUCAAAUGAAUUGACGGGGGCCCGCACAAGCGGUGGAGCAUGUGGUUUAAUUCGAUGCAACGCGAAGAACCUUACCUGGUCUUGACAUCCACAGAACUUUCCAGAGAUGGAUUGGUGCCUUCGGGAACUGUGAGACAGGUGCUGCAUGGCUGUCGUCAGCUCGUGUUGUGAAAUGUUGGGUUAAGUCCCGCAACGAGCGCAACCCUUAUCCUUUGUUGCCAGCGGUUAGGCCGGGAACUCAAAGGAGACUGCCAGUGAUAAACUGGAGGAAGGUGGGGAUGACGUCAAGUCAUCAUGGCCCUUACGACCAGGGCUACACACGUGCUACAAUGGCAUAUACAAAGAGAAGCGACCUCGCGAGAGCAAGCGGACCUCAUAAAGUAUGUCGUAGUCCGGAUUGGAGUCUGCAACUCGACUCCAUGAAGUCGGAAUCGCUAGUAAUCGUAGAUCAGAAUGCUACGGUGAAUACGUUCCCGGGCCUUGUACACACCGCCCGUCACACCAUGGGAGUGGGUUGCAAAAGAAGUAGGUAGCUUAACCUUCGGGAGGGCGCUUACCACUUUGUGAUUCAUGACUGGGGUGAAGUCGUAACAAGGUAACCGUAGGGGAACCUGCGGUUG
rnacentral:rRNA from 1 species